ensembl:lncRNA
UCUGGCUGUGUCCAGGUAAGCAAGUCCUGGGAGUGCGCCAUCUUGUUUAGCACACUGUAGCUCCAAUAAGAUGUCAUUAAGUUCUUGCGGCUUAACAUUGUCUUUAUUUGUGAGUUUGGGAAAGUCCCCUACCUUUUUUAAGAGUGCAUCCUCAAUAGCCUCAGGUGAGCCAUAGCACUCUUCAAGGCGUUGCCAGACCAUCUUUGCACCUGCAGCAGGAUUGAGGGUGUGUACAGCACGAAUCCGCUUAGCCUGUUCGGAUGAUGUUUGUCAAGAGAUUUAUUCUAAAUGACACUUCUUCAGCUGAGAGUCUAAGAGUGAAGAGACACACACUGUAGAUCUUUACUUGCAAGGGCGGUCACAGAACGCUCACAACAGAGUGGGGGCCCUGUGAUCAGCGCUCUGUUCUUGCACUUGUCUUUAUUUAUAUGCAAAAAUAAUACAACAGUGAAUACGUCUAUUCAUAGGUAGAGGAAAGUUAGUGUGUAGGGAGUGAAGAUAAGAGCGGUUUAGGUGUAUGCAUGUGUGUUGUGGGAUACAGAAAGACGCGGCCUCUCUUCUUGUUAGGGAGUGUCAGAUAAGAGUGUCCAGCUCUCCUCUUCCUGGCAGGAGUGAAAUAAUAACAGCUAUUAUCGCUGUGAGAAAGAAUUCAUAAAACAGUCUUGUAGUGGACAACAGUCUAAGUCAUCAAAAGGUCAACAUACAGUAUUCUAUCAUAUGCAAACUUAUAUCAUUAAAGGCUUAUACUGACUACCAAGUACAAUUUUCUAUUGACAUUCCCUCCUGUUGUCAGUAUAACUUUGAAGUGAGAUAUCAGUAUGUAACAUCUUGUUGUACAUUUUCUGUCACAUCAUCAUUAAUCACACAAAGUCUUCAUGUUCCAACAGGUCGGGGUCAUCAUCAUCAUUUGUCACGGCUAUGUAUGCAGCAACAGUGGAAACAAUUAUACGGUUAAUCAUGAUUUUAGACAUGGCAGGAUACAUGUUACAAAAACACAAAAUAAAAGUAAAAAUACAAAAAGGGAUAAAUAGAAUAAAUAAGAAUAAGAAUACAAAGGAACUGCAAGUAUUUCAAGUAUUUCAAGUAUUUCAAGUAUUGAAGUCUAUUGCACCGUUGGUUUUUAACAAAAAGUAUUGCACAGUGAAAAGGCAGUAGUAGUCUUUUUAGCAGUCACUUGUAUUAUUUACAUAGGCCUGAUUUUGGGCCUGCUGGAUCUGUCUCAAGGCGUUCAGGGCAUCAGUCAUGUUUGAUGAGUGUACAUUGUCUGAUGUGUGUGUGUGUGUCAUUUCUCACUCAAUCAACAAGUGCACGUCUGUUCAGGUGUGUGUUUCUCUUCAUUUUGAGUCAGUGUGUGUAGAUGUGUAUGUUUGCGUGUUUAUCACUUUCCUGUUCUGGUGUUUUGGGUAAACCACGGCCUGAAGCGUGCCCUGGGGUCCUGCCCUCCUCCUUUUCAGUCCGGUUGCGACCAUUGCUGCUGCUGCUGCUGCUCAAAGUUCAGUCUGUCCUGGUUUUGGCCCCAAUUGGGGCAGUCCUUUCUUCUUCUGUGUUUUGUCCAUUCUGAGGUGCCUUUUGACCUCAGUUGCUCCUCCUGUCUCUGGCACGCCCUUUCUUCUGCUGCCCGAUCAUCCGUGUUGGUCCAUCACUGUCCUGCACAGUGUUAAAUGCAAAGUUAUCAAGGUCAGCAUUCUUUUGCUCGGCCUUACUUUUCAUUCGGGCUUAAUGGGCGUCUCGUCACAGGUCUGUCAGCUGAAGCUGUCUGGAAAUCUCCCCCGUGUAGUGAAACGGGCCUUGGAUUUAACGCUCUCCAUCUCUGCUGCAUGAGAUCGCUUUCCUGUAGCACUGUUGACAUUUUUAGAUUGUUGUUAUGGGUCCAGCUGCUGCAGCAUUUGGUCAGGGUCAGAGAUGGUAGAGGGGAGAGCAGGAGUCCAGGUCAGCUUCGGCUUUCAGGGCCGGCAAAGCAGCCUGUAAUCAAGCAUAGAGAGGGAAAAACAAAAAACAAAACAAAAACAGACGAACAGGAAGAUGAUGUUGUAUUUUCUGAACACAUUAAUACUCAAAGACGAACGUUUCCCAAGGUACAAGCGUGUAGGGCACUUAUAGCGUGUACAUAAACUUAUUCACUGUUUUAAUACUGCCGAAGCACUUCUCACAGCGUUCACGGAGAAAAAACGUCAAAGAUAGGUUAAUGAUCAGAGCGCUCCCUCGCUCCCAUUUCCGCACGUACAAUACAAAGAUCGCUUGUGAUAACGAUGUCUCACUCUGAGCAAAUUUCAAACCCACACAUUUUAACUGUUUUUAGCAUGAAUCACAUAAUAUUUCUUAACUUUGAACUUAUUUAUCACCUUGCUUACGUAACUUAAUCAGAUUAUGCACUAACUACUGACUUUUGACCAAAAGGCAUAACAACUUGUUAAUGCUUGUUUGCCGUGUUCUGCACAGCGGAAAUAAAAGUAAUAUUUGAAAAUCAUUACUCACUUAUUCUCUUUCUCUUUCUGUGGUGUUUGUUUCUCAUGAGCUCCCAUUUUCUUUCUUAGCAGGAUUCAUGCCAGCUUUCUUCUCUGUAGAAACAAAGUAGAAGUUACAAACAAAACUUCAUCGACUUCCAAGCUGCACAAAAAAAUG